GGCUUUUGAGAGCGAAUAUUUCUCUCAAAGUUCAUCUUGCUAUUCGUCUCUCAAGACCGUUGAGUUUUUCAGUUUUCAAAGGCUCCCUUGUCCUUUAAGGCAAGGGAAGAUGCUUGUUCUAGUCUAACUGAGGUCUAUCCCCCUCUCAACUGGGCUAGAAGUGUAUAGUCCUUAGUUAGUUCGUGUUCUUGCAGGUGUGGAUGAAAAUGGGAGAGUUUCCAGUGAAGACCUGCUAAAUGGAUAUGUGUUUUGCUGUCUGUUUGGGUGUUUGGGUGCCACUGAAUAUAGAGGGUCUCUUGCUUGUUUGAUGGAAGUAACUUUAGGUCCUUGUGCCAACCGGAUCUAGUAGCUGCCGACCCCCAUCUGGCUACACGAGAUUGAGACGCCAAGAGCUCUGCCUCAUCCCCUGUGAACGGUCGUCGGCGAUGGCUAUGCUUUCUAGUUUUCGAGGUCCAGUGUAUGGCGGAGAUGAAGCUCCAAUUGGGACUACAAAGAAAGAGGCAGGCUCCAGCUACUGAAUCCUUUGGUUGGUGCUUUUCCAUCCACCG
rnacentral:misc_RNA from 1 species